ACGGAAGGCAGCAGUGGGGAGUAUUGCACAAUGGAGGGAACUCUGAUGCAGCAACGCCGCGUGAGUGAAGAAGGUCUUCGGAUCGUAAAACUCUGUCCUUAGGGACGAAGAAAGUGACGGUACCUAAGGAGGAAGCCCCGGCUAACUACGUGCCAGCAGCCGCGGUAAUACGUAGGGGGCGAGCGUUAUCCGGAAUUAUUGGGCGUAAAGAGUACGUAGGUGGUUUUGUAAGCGUAAGGUGAAAGCCCAGGGCUUAACUCCGGCGAGCCUUACGAACUGCAAGACUUGAGUGCAGGAGGGGAAAGUGGAAUUCCUAGUGUAGCGGUGAAAUGCGUAGAUAUUAGGAGGAACACCGGUGGCGAAGGCGACUUUCUGGACUGUAACUGACACUGAGGUACGAAAGCGUGGGGAGCAAACAGGAUUAGAUACCCUGGUA
rnacentral:rRNA from 1 species